rnacentral:rRNA from 1 species
AUGGCUCAGGAUGAACGCUGGCGGCGUGCUUAACACAUGCAAGUCGAACGGAGUAUAAGAAUGAAGUUUCGGAUGGAUUUUUAGUACUUAGUGGCGGACGGGUGAGUAACGCGUGGGUAACCUGCCUCACACAGGGGGAUAACAGUUGGAAACGACUGUUAAUACCGCAUAAGACCACAGUACCGCAUGGUACAGGGGUAAAAAACUCCGGUGGUGUGAGAUGGACCCGCGUCUGAUUAGUUAGUUGGCGGGGUAACGGCCCACCAAGACGACGAUCAGUAGCCGAUCUGAGAGGAUGACCGGCCACAUUGGGACUGAGACACGGCCCAAACUCCUACGGGAGGCAGCAGUGGGGAAUAUUGCACAAUGGGGGAAACCCUGAUGCAAGCGACGCCGCGUGAGUGAAGAAGUAUUUCGGUAUGUAAAGCUCUAUCAGCAGGGAAGAAAAUGACGGUACCUGAGUAAGAAGCCCCGGCUAACUACGUGCCAGCAGCCGC